UUCUUCUCACUUCUAAACAUUCUUCAUGCAUCUCUAGCACUUGUAAUCAAACAAAUUCAUUGUAUUAUAACAUAUUCUAAACCAAAAUAACUUUAUACAAGCCAUUCACUGCCUCAAAGCAAUGGUUUUGGGUUCUUAUCCAAUUUGGGACCAAAUAUCGAUAGGUCUUUCUUCUCACUUCUAAACAUUCUUCAUGCAUCUCUAGCACUUGUAAUCAAUCACAUUCAUUGUAUUAUAACAUAUUCUAAACCAAACUAACUUUAUACAAGCCAUUCACUGGCUCAAAGCAAUGAUUUUGGGUUCUUAUCCCAUUUGGGACCAAAUAUCAACAAGCCUUUCUUCUCACUUUUAAACAUUC
rnacentral:lncRNA from 1 species